rnacentral:rRNA from 1 species
ACUCCUACGGGAGGCAGCAGUAGGGAAUUUUCCGCAAUGGACGAAAGUCUGACGGAGCAAUGCCGCGUGAGUGAUGAAGGUUUUUCGAAUCGUAAAGCUCUGUUGUAAGGGAAAGAAUAGCAAGAAUAGGGAAAUGAUUCUUGUCUGACGGUACCUUACCAGAAAGCCACGGCUAACUACGUGCCAGCAGCCGCGGUAAUACGUAGGUGGCAAGCGUUAUCCGGAAUUAUU